rnacentral:rRNA from 1 species
AUUGAACGCUGGCGGCAUGCCUUACACAUGCAAGUCGAACGGCAGCGGACCUUCGGGUGCCGGCGAGUGGCGAACGGGUGAGUAAUAUAUCGGAACGUACCUUUCAGUGGGGGAUAACGUAGCGAAAGUUACGCUAAUACCGCAUAUUCUGUGAGCAGGAAAGCAGGGGAUCGCAAGGCCUUGCGCUGAUUGAGCGGCCGAUAUCAGAUUAGCUAGUUGGUGAGGUAAAGGCUCACCAAGGCGACGAUCUGUAGCGGGUCUGAGAGGAUGAUCCGCCACACUGGAACUGAGACACGGUCCAGACUCCUACGGGAGGCAGCAGUGGGGAAUUUUGGACAAUGGGCGCAAGCCUGAUCCAGCCAUGCCGCGUGAGUGAAGAAGGCC